UUAGUCAAAAUAAACCCUAAAUCCCUAAAUCCCUAAAUCACUCUUCAAUUCUCACCGCUUCACCUACGACUCCACGAGGCUGCGACACUGCCAACCUGCCGUUUGCUACUUGCUGCGGUGCUGCCGGACUGCCUCUGCCUGCUCUAGACGGUAGCGACAUGUUGUCCUGCUCUACCUAUGAAGUACGAACGACGAUCUACGGCGAAGAAGUUUCGUCUUCAGUCCGGUCGAUCUACGGCGAGUCGGUCGAAUCCUACUCCUUCAAAUCAUAGUGUAAGACUAGCUGUGGCCGCACUUUUCCUUCUUUUUAGCGUUUUCUCCACCAUUUUUGUCUCCAGAGCUUCGCCUUCUCCAACGAUUCUUCGUCUCCAACGCUUCGUCGUCUCCCCUGCUGAAAUGAAGAAAAACUCCAUUGAGACAAAGAUUCAUAAGUGUUGGUGUUUUAUUUUAUUUAUACAGUGUAUUCUAUCUUGUUAGCCACAUCAAAAUAUGAAUUCAAACAAAGAUACUGCUGAAACGAAAAGAAAAUAUCGAAGGAAGAGGGAUAGAGUAGUAGAUAAUGAAGGAACAUCACAAGAUUUGUGAAUACAUGUGCAGGCCAAUAUCCUAAAAUCAUUGAGAGCAAAGUAUGCAGCAUGCAUAUUAGUGAUGGAAAUCAAUGAGAAAAAAGAGGAAUUGCUGAAGAAAGCAGGCAAAAUAUAUGUUGCAAAAUGACUUUAUAUGUUCAUCAGAUUUGAAGUGGUUGAUAUAGUUAGGGGAAAUUAAAUUUUUGGUUGACAAGUGCAUUAUGCAGUGACAAAACUCAUGUAAAUUUUAAUAGGUUAUUAUGCUUCAAAUAGACCUAAUUAGGAAAGAUAUUUUUGUGAUGACCCCUAUUUUGAGUAUUAAUUAAUAGCAUUUGAUUUCCUAGUA